rnacentral:rRNA from 1 species
GAAUAUUGGACAAUGGGGGGAACCCUGAUCCAGCCAUGCCGCGUGUGUGAAGAAGGCCUUUUGGUUGUAAAGCACUUUAAGCGAGGAGGAGGCUACUCUAGUUAAUACCUAGAGAUAGUGGACGUUACUCGCAGAAUAAGCACCGGCUAACUCUGUGCCAGCAGCCGCGGUAAUACAGAGGGUGCAAGCGUUAAACAGAAUUGCUGGGCGUUAAGCGCGCGUAGGUUGCCCAAUAAGUCAAAUGUGAAAUCCCCGAGCUUUACUUUGGAAUUGCAUUUGAUACUGGUUUGCUAGAGUAAUGGAGAGGGUGGUUGAAUUCCCGGGGUUGCCGUUAAAUUCCGAAAGGUCUGGAGGAAUUCCGAUUGCGAAGGGUGCCAACUUGCCUUAUACUGACACUGAGGUGCGAAAGCAUGGGGAGCAAAC